rnacentral:lncRNA from 1 species
CCCAUUUUGAGGCUCCCAUUUUUGGGGUUCCCAUUCGACGUCCUCCUUUUGGGGUCCCACGUUUUGGGUUCCCAUUUGGGGUCUUCGUUGGGGCUCUCCAAUGGGGGUCUCCAAUUUAGAGAUUCCAUUUGGGUGUCCCCUUUUGGGGGCUCCAUUUGGGGGUUCCAUUCCGGGGGUCCCAUUUUUGGGGUCUCCAUUGGAGGACCUGCUUUGGGGUUCCCAUUUUUCGGGGACUCCUUAUGGGGGUCCCGUUAUGGGGUCCCAUUUUUUGGGUUCCCAUUGGAGGGUCUCCAAUGGGGGUCCCCAUUUUCCAGAUUCCAUUUGGGGGUCCCUAUUUGGAGGUUCCAUUUUAUUGUGUCCCCUUUUCGAGUUCCUACUUUUUGGGGUCCUUUUGGGAUCUCCAAUUGGGGUUCUCUAUUUUAGUGUUCCAUUUGGGUGUCUCCUUUUGGGGUCCCAAUUUCGAGGUCCCCAUUUUUGGGGUCCCCAUUUUGGGACUCCCAUUUCUGGGGUUCCCAUUUGACGUCCUCCUUUUGGGGUCCCACUUUUUGGGUUCCCAUUUGGGGUCUUCGUUUGGGGGUCUCCAAUGGGGGUCCCCAUUUUACAGAUUCCAUUUGGAGUUUCCAUUUUGGGUGUCCCCUUUUGGGGGCUCCAUUUGGGGGUUCUAUUUUGGGGGUCCCAUUUUUGGGGUCCCCAUUGGAGGACCUGCUUUUGGGGUUCCCCUUUUUCGGGGACUCCUUUUGGGGGUCGCAUUAUGGGGUCCCAUUCUUUGGGUCUCCAUUUGGUCUCCAUUUGGGGAUCUAUAACUGGGGUCCCCAUUUUAGAGAUUCCAUUGGGGGAUCCCUAUUUGGAGGUUCAAUUUUGGGUGUCCCCUUUUGGGGAUCUCCAUUUGAGGUCCCCAUUUGGGGGAUCCCAUUUUUGGAGGUCUUCAUUUGGGAGUUCCAUUUUGGGUGUCCCCUUUUGGGAUUUCCAUUUGAGUUCCCUAUUUUGGGGGUCCCAUUUUUAAGGUCCGAUCUUGGGGUCUCCAAUUGGGGGUUCUCUAUUUUAGGGGUCGCUUUUUGGGGGUCCCCUUUUGGGAGUCUCCAUUUGAGGUCCCCGUUUUGGGGAUGCCAUUUGUAAGGUCCCCUCUUGGAGGUCUCUUUUUUAAGGGUUCCAUUCGGGGGCUCCCUUUCGGGGGUCUCCAUUUGGGGGUAUAUAAUUGGGGUCUCCAUUGUAGAGAUUCCAUUUGGGGAUUCCAUUGUAGGAGGUCUGCAUUUGGGGGCCCCCUUUUGAGUUCCUACUUUUGGGGGUCCCAUUCUGGGGUCUCCAGUUUUGGGGUUCUCUUUUUUAGGGGUCCCAUCUUGGGUGUCCCUUUUGGGGGUCUCCUUUUAAGAGGUUCCAUUUGGGGGUCUCCAUUUGAGGUCCCCAUUUGGGGGAUCCCAUUUUUGGAGGUCUUCAUUUGGGAGUUCCAUUUUGGGGUCCCUUUUUGGGGUUCCCAUUUUUGGGAGUCCCCUUUUGGGGGUCUCCUUUUUAGAGGUUCCAAUUAGAGGCCCCGCACGAGCUCUGCAUUGGCUCAGCGAAAGCCCA